ACAGCCGAGUUCAAGAGAGAGAGA
rnacentral:siRNA from 1 species